rnacentral:rRNA from 1 species
GACGAACGCUGGCGGCGUGCUUAACACAUGCAAGUCGAACGAUGAACCCGGAGCUUGCUCUGGGGGAUUAGUGGCGAACGGGUGAGUAACACGUGAGUAACCUGCCCUGGACUCUGGGAUAAGCGUUGGAAACGACGUCUAAUACCGGAUAGGACCUUGGAUCGCAUGAUCUGGGGUGGAAAGUUUUUUCGGUCUGGGAUGGACUCGCGGCCAAUCAGCUUGUUGGUGAGGUAAUGGCUCACCAAGGCGUCGACGGGUAGCCGGCCUGAGAGGGUGACCGGCCACACUGGGACUGAGACACGGCCCAGACUCCUACGGGAGGCAGCAGUGGGGAAUAUUGCACAAUGGGCGAAAGCCUGAUGCAGCAACGCCGCGUGCGGGAUGACGGCCUUCGGGUUGUAAACCGCUUUUAGUAGGGAAGAAGGGCUUCGGCUGGACGGUACCUGCAGAAAAAAGACCGGCUAACUACGU